CCGAAGUUUAUCCAAAAUGACAGAGCACUGGACUCCAAAUCCAGGUGCUGCGGGUUCAAGUCCUGCCACCCGUGCCA
rnacentral:tRNA from 1 species